GUGUCUGUGUGUGUGAUUCGUUGCUGUCAUUUUGAGUUCGUUGAAAUUAUCGAAGUUUGAGGUACCGCUACUUCUUUAAUGGUUAAUCCGUUUUAUCUUGGGAGGAAUUAAUCUACAACCUCGGGUACUUGAGGGGAUUAAAUUUCUUAAGGACACACAAUGAGUUCUGUGGACUCGGAUAGUUCUUUGUGUUUUUCUUUUCAUCUUUUAUUAUUUCUG
rnacentral:lncRNA from 1 species